UUUGCACCUGGAAGGGGCCCCAACCCGGCUUUGGUGAGACUCUAUCUCCCAGGUGGUGCAGGAGUGGCUGCGGUGUCUGGGGCAAGGGGAAACCCCAGGUGAAAGGGGAAGAUUUUGGAGUCCGAAUGCCGGGAGCCCUUGGUUGCCACUAGUUUCUUAGGCAGCUCUUCUGCUCUGCCUGCUGCUGAGCACACAAGUCCAAGGGCACACUGACCUUCAGGAGAGCAAGGAAGCAUGAAUCCUACAAAAAGGAGUAUAGGGAGAAGAGCAGAUGGCAGACUGGGGCCUGGGGGCCUCCUGCUACAGAAUUUACCUAAUCCACCCAGAUUUCAU
rnacentral:lncRNA from 1 species